UUUACACCUCAGCUCCCUCAGGCCAAGAAGGCCCGGCGGCGUCACAACAGCUCGGAAACAGAGGAGGAGGGCCACGUCAGCUAUCAGGAAAGCGGUACCUCGGAGUCUGAGGAGGAGGGAGACUCUCUGGAAGAGGACGAGGGCGACCGUCGUGGUCAAACCACACCUGUCCAAGGCGCACAGCCGGAGACGACCGCCCCAGCGCUGCCUGGACAACCUUCUGAGGUGAGUUCUUUCAGUCGCCAUUGUUGACAUCAUCCUGGGUUCAGUUGCUUCUGGCUGUUAACCUUGAAGGCUGCUUUAUGAUGAUGAUGACUUUAUCACUAAUGUGUUCCACCCUAACCCUGGACAACCGGAGCAAACGGAUGAACUGGAAGAAACGGCAGAACCUCAGCCGACUGCAGAACCUCGGCAAACAGAGGAGCCUGAGCUGGCAUCAUCUCCCCUGAGCUCACGUGUGCCAGCUCGAAGAACCACCCGAAGGGCCAAGCCAUUGUUGCGUCAGUAUCCCAAGGUCCUCCUGAGCCCGCUGAAACUCACAGCCAAGAAAAAAAGUGAGCAGGCAAGGCGGACGCUACGCUUCAAGACGAGGGUAGUCUUGUAGUUUAUUUCAUUUGUUUCAUUUGUUAUUUUACACCCUGUGGCUGUUUUUUGUUCACUGUCAUGCAACAGUCUCAUUUUGUCUACUUCAUCUUUUAUUGGAAAACUCCUAAGUCUG